UACGAAGGGGGCUAGCGUUGUUCGGAUUUACUGGGCGUAAAGCGCACGUAGGCGGAUCGUUAAGUCGGGGGUGAAAUCCUGGAGCUCAACUCCAGAACUGCCUUUGAUACUGGCAAUCUAGAGUCCGGAAGAGGUGAGUGGAACUCCUAGUGUAGAGGUGGAAUUCGUAGAUAUUAGGAAGAACACCAGUGGCGAAGGCGGCUCACUGGUCCGGUACUGACGCUGAGGUGCGAAAGCGUGGGGAGCAAACAGG
rnacentral:rRNA from 1 species